rnacentral:rRNA from 1 species
UACGUAGGGGGCAAGCGUUGUCCGGAAUCAUUGGGCGUAAAGCGCGUGUAGGCGGCUCGAUAAGUCUGCUGUGAAAGUCCAGGGCUCAACCCUGGGAUGCCGGUGGAUACUGUCGAGCUCGAGUCCGGAAGAGGCGAGUGGAAUUCCUGGUGUAGCGGUGAAAUGCGCAGAUAUCAGGAGGAACACCAAUGGCGAAGGCAGCUCGCUGGGACGGUACUGACGGUGAGACGCGAAAGCGUGGGGAGCAAACAGG